CUGCUUGCUUCGGCAGCACAUAUACUAAAAUUGGAAUGAUACAGAGAAGAUUAGCAUGGACCCUGCACAAGGAUGACAUGCAAAUUUGUGAAGUAUUCUAUAUUUCU
rnacentral:snRNA from 1 species